rnacentral:rRNA from 1 species
CGGAGCAUGCGGAUUAAUUCGAUGCAACGCGAAGAACUUACCAAGGCUUGACAUACACCGGUAACGCCCAGAGAUGGGUGCCCCUUUGUGGUCGGUGUACAGGUGGUGCAUGGUUGUCGUCAGCUCGUGUCGUGAGAUGUUGGGUUAAGUCCCGCAACGAGCGCAACCCUCGUCCUAUGUUGCCAGCGGGUCAUGCCGGGGACUCAUGGGAGACUGCCGGGGUCAACUCGGAGGAAGGUGGGGAUGACGUCAAAUCAUCAUGCCCCUUAUGUCUUGGGCUUCACGCAUGCUACAAUGGCCGGUACAAAGGGCUGCGAUACCGCGAGGUGGAGCGAAUCCCAGAAAGCCGGUCUCAGUUCGGAUUGGGGUCUGCAACUCGACCCCAUGAAGUCGGAGUCGCUAGUAAUCGCAGAUCAGCAACGCUGCGGUGAAUACGUUCCCGGGCCUU